rnacentral:rRNA from 1 species
UACGAAGGGGGCUAGCGUUGUUCGGAAUUACUGGGCGUAAAGCGCGCGUAGGCGGUGAUCUUUGUCAGAGGUGAAAUCCCGAGGCUCAACUUCGGAAUUGCCUUUGAAACGGGAUCGUCUUGAGUCCGAGAGAGGAUGGCGGAAUUCCUAGUGUAGAGGUGAAAUUCGUAGAUAUUAGGAAAGAACACCGGUGGCGAAGGCGGCCAUCUGGCUCGGUACUGACGCUCAGGCGCGAAAGCGUGGG